GUUUCUUUCUUUUUUAAAGCCAAAACCAGUAGCCAUUCUCCCCCAACUUGAAAAAUACCCAUUUCUCCAUUUUUAGACUUUGAGAGCUCGAAAAUAGGUGAUUUCAAGUGGGUUUUCGCAAGGAAUUCAUUGGAUUGUGGUGAUUUGGAGCGUGCUCGGAAGGGUAAAACUCAAAUUUGAGUUACUAGUUGAAGUGUUUUGAGGCAAGUGACUUCUAAACUUUGUUAAACUCUUAGACUACACAUGACUACUUUCCUAAUUGUGUUGGGGAGUAAUGGGGAUUGAGGAUGAGUUUUAUUUGUUGAUUGAAAUUGAAAGAUGGGGAAUAAAACGAGCUAAAUGUGUUAUAUGUGACUUGAAUUUGUUGAAUAAGUCAUGUGAUAACUGAUAUUGAGGGGAUAGGAGAGCAUGAGUAGGCUAUGAUUGAUACAGACAUUGAUGUUGAAACAGAUGAUGUGUAAUACUAUGAUGUGAUCGUGAUAUGAUUGUGAUUGAUGACAUGUGCAUAUUCAUUAUUCAUCCCAUGUGUGAACUAUCUGUUGCAUGAGUUCUGAGACACUGAUAUGAGGAUGGAUGGAUAUGAGACACAAUUGAGACUAGCUCCGGCUAGAGAUAUAUGAGAUGGACUAGCUCCGGCUAGCGAUUUGGAUGCCGAUGGGAUCUGGUUCCGGCGGUGAUACAUGGUCCAUGUGUGGCCCCCAUGGGUUCUGAUUUGAGUAUUCAGCGCGGACUGAUUACGUCAACAGAUGUGUAUCUUAGGACAGACAUGCAUCACGACUACAUGACAUCAUUAUUGCAUUUUGCAUCGCAUUUGCCUUAUCUUUGUCUGUGAUGUGUGGAUUGUAUCGGUUUACCCUUCUUAUGUGAAAUUUGAUCUACUUGCUCUUAUUUGUUGAUCUGAGGUUGAUGAGGAUAUACUGUUGGUUCUGGCUGUUGAAUAUGAUCUGUUUAGUAUAGGUUGGUUGGUUUGCUGCUAGAUUGAAGUUUCGGUGGUUCGGUUGGGAUUGAAAGGAGUUGUUUGUAGCUGCUAGUUUAGCUUAGUUUAGUGUUACUUGCGAGUACCUGUUGCUUUUGGUACUCACCCUUGCUUCUACACAGUUGUGUAGGUUGACAGCUCUAUCAGAUCCGGCU
rnacentral:lncRNA from 1 species